rnacentral:rRNA from 1 species
ACACGACUACAUUAGAUACCCGCGUAGUCCCAGCCCUAAACGAUGCGCGUUAGGUGUAUCGGUGACCACGAGUCACCGAGGUGCCGAAGGGAAACCGUGAAACGUGCCGCCUGGGGAGUACGGUCGCAAGGCUGAAACUUAAAGGAAUUGGCGGGGAGCACCACAAGAGGUGGAGGCUGCGGUUCAAUUGGACUCAACGCCGGAAAACUCAUCGGGAGCGACAGCAGUAUGAUUGCCAGGUUGAUGACCUUGCUUGACAAGCUG